UACGUAGGGGGCAAGCGUUGUCCGGAUUUAUUGGGCGUAAAGAGCGUGUAGGCGGCCAGGCAGGUCCGUUGUGAAAACUCGAGGCUCAACCUCGAGACGUCGAUGGAAACCGUCUGGCUAGAGUCCGGAAGAGGAGAGUGGAAUUCCUGGUGUAGCGGUGAAAUGCGCAGAUAUCAGGAAGAACACCUAUGGCGAAGGCAGCUCGCUGGGACGUUACUGACGCUGAGACGCGAAAGCGUGGGGAGCAAACAGG
rnacentral:rRNA from 1 species